GAUGAACGCUAGCUAGAGGCUUAACACAUGCAAGUCGAGGGACAGGCGCACGGGAGAGUAACACGUAUCCAACCUGCCCGUUACUCGGUGAUAACCUUUCGAAAGAAAGAUUAAUACCCGAUAUAAAGGAUGGGGAUGCGUUCCAUUAGGUUGUGGGUGAGGUAACGGCUCACCAAGACUUCGAUGGAUAGGGGUGCUGAGAGGAAGGACACCUACAGCUGUACUCAGACACGGGCCAAACUACUACGGGAGGAAGAAGUGAGGAAUAUGGGUAAAUGGGCGCUAGCAGGAACCAGCCAAGUAGCGUGAAGGAUGAAGGAUUAUGGGUAGUAAACUUCUUUUAGAUAAGAAUAUGUAUUAUAUGAAUAAGGAUCGGCUAACUCCGUGCCAGCAGCCGCGGUGAUAC
rnacentral:rRNA from 1 species